CCCUUAGACGUUCUGGACCGCACGCGCGCUACACUGACCAGUGCAACCAGCAUCCGUCCUUGGCCGACAGGCCCGGGCAAUCUUUGAACGCUGGUCGUGAUGGGGAUAGACUUUUGCAAUUUUUGGUCUUCAACGAGGAAUUCCUAGUAAACGCAAGUCAUCAACUUGCAUUGAUUACGUCCCUGCCCUUUGUACACACCGCCCGUCGCACCUACCGAUUGAAUGGUCCGGUGAAGCCUCCGGAUUGGCGCGCACCUCGGUGCCGCCGAGAAGUUGGCUAAACCUUACCAUUUAGAGGAAGGUGAAGUCGUAACA
rnacentral:rRNA from 1 species